rnacentral:rRNA from 1 species
AUUGAACGCUGGCGGCAUGCUUUACACAUGCAAGUCGAACGAGUGGCGAACGGGUGAGUAAUAUAUCGGAACGUACCGAGUAAUGGGGGAUAACCAAUCGAAAGAUUGGCUAAUACCGCAUAUUAUUCGAGCGGCCGAUAACUGAUUAGCUAGUUGGUGGGGUAAAGGCCUACCAAGGCGACGAUCUCUAGCUGGUCUGAGAGGAUGAUCAGCCAAACUGGAACGGAGACACGGCCCAGACUCCUACGGGUGGCAGAAGAGGGGAAUAUUGCACAAUGGGCGAAAGCCUGAUGCAGCCAUGCCGCGGGUAUGAAGAAGGCCUUCGGGUUGUAAAGUACUUUCAGUCGGGAGGCGUUACCGACAGAAGAAGCACCGGCUAACUCCGUGCCAGCAGCCGCGGUAAUUC